rnacentral:sRNA from 2 species
AAAUAAGGAAAGCUGAAUCUAGAUUUACCUAGAACGGGGGAUCUUUUUAUGGGGUGAAACGCGUACCACGCGUCGGGCUAACACCUUGUGUCCGAAUCCGUCAACUAACCUCGUAAGCUAAGAAGGGUGUAACU